rnacentral:rRNA from 1 species
GACGAACCGUGCAAACGUUAUUCGGAAUUACUGGGCGUAAAGCGCGCGUAGGCGGAUCUGCAAGUCGGGGGUGAAAUCCCGAGGCUCAACCUCGGAACUGCCUUCGAUACUGCGGGUCUCGAGUCCGGGAGAGGUAAGCGGAAUUCCUGGUGUAGCGGUGAAAUGACGUAGAUAUCGGAAGGAACAUCAGUGGCGAAAGCGACUUCCUGGACCAGUACCGACGUUCAGGCACGAAAGCGUGGGGAGCAAACAGGG